ACGAACGCUGGCGGCGUGCUUAACACCUGCAAGUCGAACGCUGAAGCUUGGUGCUUGCACUGGGUGGAUGAGUAGCGAACGGGUGAGUAAUACGUGAGUAACCUGCCCUUGACUCUGGGAUAAGCCUGGGAAACUGGGUCUAAUACUGGAUACGACAUGUCACCGCAUGGUGGUGUGUGGAAAGGGUUUUACUGGUUUUGGAUGGGCUCACGGCCUAUCAGCUUGUUGGUGGGGUAAUGGCUCACCAAGGCGACGACGGGUAGCCGGCCUGAGAGGGUGACCGGCCACACUGGGACUGAGACACGGCCCAGACUCCUACGGGAGGCAGCAGUGGGGAAUAUUGCACAAUGGGCGGAAGCCUGAUGCAGCGACGCCGCGUGAGGGAUGACGGCCUUCGGGUUGUAAACCUCUUUCAGCACGGAAGAAGCGAAAGUGACGGUACGUGCAGAAGAAGCGCCGGCUAACUACGUG
rnacentral:rRNA from 1 species